UAGGGAAUCUUCGGCAAUGGACGGAAGUCUGACCGAGCAACGCCGCGUGAGUGAAGAAGGUUUUCGGAUCGUAAAGCUCUGUUGUAAGAGAAGAACGAGUGUGAGAGUGGAAAGUUCACACUGUGACGGUAUCUUACCAGAAAGGGACGGCUAACUACGUGCCAGCAGCCGCGGUAAUACGUAGGUCCCGAGCGUUGUCCGGAUUUAUUGGGCGUAAAGCGAGCGCAGGCGGUUAGAUAAGUCUGAAGUUAAAGGCUGUGGCUUAACCAUAGUAGGCUUUGGAAACUGUUUAACUUGAGUGCAAGAGGGGAGAGUGGAAUUCCAUGUGUAGCGGUGAAAUGCGUAGAUAUAUGGAGGAACACCGGUGGCGAAAGCGGCUCUCUGGCUUGUAACUGACGCUGAGGCUCGAAAGCGUGGGGAGCAAACAGGAUUAGAUACCCUGGUAGUCCACGCUGUAAACGAUGAGUGCUAGGUGUUAGACCCUUUCCGGGGUUUAGUGCCGUAGCUAACGCAUUAAGCACUCCGCCUGGGGAGUACGACCGCNGNNU
rnacentral:rRNA from 1 species